UCGACAAAUAAGGACAACAUAAAUAAGUCUAAAAUUUUCUCCACUACAGGUUCUGUACCAAUAGCCAAGUACAGAUAUGAAAUGUAUCUAGAGACGGGCUCUGAGCCUAGCCCCAUUGAUUGCUUUAAGAAAUUUCACACAAAGAAGGAUGGCAAAGAAUGGGCAACUGAUCAUGCUAAGACAUUAUAUGAAAAAAUGGAUGCGAUAAAGGCCAAAGCUAUUUCUAAAGGUACUAAGACAAAUGAUUAUCAGAUCUUUUGUGAAGUGGUUGGUGAACCAAGUCAUGGUCGUAUUCUUGGCAUGUGAAUAGGUAUUAAGGCUAAGGAUGUGUACGGCUUAACUUCAUCUGGUAAAGGUUGUAGCAAACAUUGCAGAGAAGAUUUUACAAAAGGAAAAAAAGAUUUGGAGGCACGUCUUUAGAUAGGAAAUGGAUUCCAAACUUGCAAAAGUUGUGGAGAAGCUUGAGGAGAAGUUUGCACAAAAGUUGCAGUUGAUGGGCAUACCACAACAAUCUGACAUAGAUCUAGCUACCAUGGAUGGUACUAGCAGAGAUGAAGAGGACAACUCAAACAAUAACAUAGAGGUUGAAAACAACUUGGAGAGUGACUCAAAGGAAGACUAAUAUAGAUCUUGUCAUAAAAUAGUUGUUUAAGUUUAAAACAAGGUUUAAUUUCAGGAUUUCUUUGUAUAUUUUAUAUUUUAAAGUUUGAACUUAUAUGAAUUUUUAUCUUUCGAUGGAUCA